rnacentral:misc_RNA from 1 species
UAGGAGCACAUUGUGAUUGUUGAAUCAUCUGCAUGUAAUGAAAAUCCAUGAAGAAACCAAAAGCUAUCUAAUUGCAAUAGAACAGUUAUUUAUUAGUGGCUAUGAUGUACUCAAUUGAAGGGAAAAUAUAUAAGUUGUUUCCAUUUACUCUUUAUUUGUCAUGAAAAGAACUGAUUCCCUACCAAAAAAUAAUACUAUUCACAUUUUCAAUACAAAAACGCAGAGCAAGAAAAUUAUAGUUGUUUACCUGUAUAUUUUGCUUCAAAACCAUGCAUUUGUGGGAAAAUUAGUUUCAUUUCACUUACCACUCCCAUGAACGUUUUGUUACAAAGCUUUCUUGACAACCAAGUAGAGCCUUGUAUAAAUUGAAUCCAAACUAUAAGAAGUGGAGUCUCAAAUCAAGGCUGGGUACUUGUGGAUUUUUUUUUUUUUUUAGCAACCUA